GUUUGGUGGCCAAUUUAUGUGAAGUAAAAUUUGGUCCAUGCAGAAAGAAAGAUUGUCAGCUUUUCAGAGAGCGGACUCAAGUUGAAUUCAAAAUGGAAGACCCAUUGAAUAACUCUCUAUACCAGAUCAUCCAAUUACGGCUCCUGACGCUUUAGAACUGUCUGAUCACAUAUUAAGAUGAUGUGCAGCAGUUCAUUAUCUAGGAUUUCUUCUGCUAGAGGCUGAUAACCAAGAAAUUUUUGACAUGGUUCUCCGCCUCACUGCUUAUCAUUAUCCUGAAAAUAUCCUCUUGCCACAAGGAUAUACUCCUCCAAAUCUGGCAAUUAGCACACUUUACUCGAAGGCUUGGUUGAUGCUAUUGAUGCUGAUUGCUCAUAAUCAUGGGCAGUCUUGGGUCUGAGGCAUGGAAUUCAUUCCCUACACUCGGAGCAUUGAUGGAGAUGUGUAUCAAAAAGGAUUUCGCUACUUCUUCUGGUACCACAGACCAGACAGAGUUGCAGCUGGCUGCAAUUGAAAAGCAAACCAUCUUGGAAUUCGAAACACAUCUAGCAGCCGCCUCUACAAAAACUGUUAUUACCGAGAACAAUUAUUUUCUGCUUAGUCAAGUAUUAAAAGCACUCUUAACUUUUUAUUUUCUUGCAAAUCAUUGUAAUAUUUUACUUUAGUUGACAUCGCUUGAUCCAUGAGGAUCUACACAACGACCUCCUCCGGCUGUUAUUGAGCAGCUUCGAACUUUGAACGCAACACUUCGACUGGGUCACCUACUUUGUCGAAGUCGCUAACCCAGAGAUAAGGAGAUGGGACACUGCCGUGUUAAAGCGGCCAUGACAGUUUCCGCGACACCAUCUAACGGCUAAUGCCCGCCCUUCAUCAUUAGCAGACGAAUUCCCAGCAAUACCCCCUCAAAGGCACUGUAGGCUUGGCGGCUUGUUUGAAUUUUGGGAAAGGAAGCUAGAGCAGGACGACACUUAUGAGGGU